AUGUGCACACACACCUGCAUGCUCUAAAUGAUCUGCCUGGGGAAAUGUAUAAAUAUGCCUGAGGGAAAAUUAAAAAUAAAAGAUUUGUUUAGGUUUUUCAUUAUUGUAGGCAAUCAUGUCCACAUCACUUACAAAGCUAUUGCUGAAUCUGUCCAAGAAAGCAGAAUUUGGAAGGAGCAACAGUGGCAUAGCAGAGCUUUCAAUAUGAGAAAGCUAACAUUAUGUGGACUUUUGCUGUGAAAUUUGUCUUUGCAAAAUAUGGGAGGAAGUUUUUUGAUGGACAGAAAAUAAGAGGAAGCAGUGUGAAUUAGAAGCUUCCACAGAGUCAAUUUCAAGAAAAAUGCUUAGUCCUUCUCUGGAACCAGUUUCAGAACUUUUCCAAUUGCAAUGGUCUUCCCCUCAUCUCUUAAAGUAAAACGACCCAUCUGAGGGAAAUCUUUGAAGGUCUCAAGGCAGAUGGUUCCUGCUGUUCUUAAACGGGCAAUGCAUACUUGAUCUUGUUUGACAAAACGUGGUCGUGUCUUACUUUUUUCUCCUGUUUUUUUGUCUACCAAGCAGAUUAAGGCUGUUAUCUCUACUUCUUCAAUACAGGUAUGAAUGUGCAGCACCGCAUUAUAACCUGGGCAGAUGAUAGAUUUGUGCUCAAUAAUCACUAUCUGAGCAUCAAACGUGUGUCCAAAAUGACAGAGAUUUUUAGGUUCACAAAGUAUGAAUCCUGGAAGUAUUUCUUCUUCUUCAAUUCCCUUCAGUCUAAUCUUGAGGUUUUCCCCUGGGGCUGCAGAAUCCAUUUCUACAUCAUCAGAAAGGAUUCCAAGAACUUCCACAUUGUGCUUGUUUGGCAUCAUCACAAACUGCUGUCCUUUACAGAUAGAGCCCGAUUCCAACUUUCCCAGGACCACAGUGCCCAUGUCCUUGUAUUUAUCCACGAUUGGCAGCCUAACUGGUCCAUCAAGUGAUCUGUUGAAGUUUGGCAAAUCAUCCAGAUAUUGAACAAAUGGUAACCCCUCAUACCAAGGACAGCAAUCUGACGGCUCUUUAAGGUUUGCACCUGUCAGCCCUGAGCAGGGCAUGAAGUGUAUAUCCUUUUUGGGACUGAAGCCAACUUUUUUCAAAAAUGGCAGCAACUUUUCUUUGCAUUCUUCAUAUCUCUUAUUGCUCCAAUUUACUGUUGGGUCAUCCAUCUUGUUCACAAGCACUAUCAAGUGCUUUACACCUGCUGUUUUUGCCAACAUGGCAUGUUCCCUUGUCUGUCCUCCUUUUUCAAAUCCAGUUUCAAACUCUCCCUUCCGAGCAGAGAUGACCAGCACGGCCAGAUCGGCUUGAGAAGCGCCACCAAUCAUGUGUGGGACAAAACUCUUGUGCCCGGGGGCGUCCAGGAUGGUGAAGUGCUUUUUUUCUGUCUCAAAGUAGGCUCGGCCCACCUCCACAGUUUUACCUUUGUCUCGUUCUUCCUGAUUUGUAUCCAAGGCCCAGGACAAGUACCAAGUUUCUCUGUUUUUUUCCUUAGCUUCUCGUUGAUAUUUUUCAAGUGUUCUUUUGUCAACCAUCCCCGUCAAAUACAUGAUUUGUCCUCCAAUGGUUGAUUUGCCAGCAUCCACAUGCCCAAUGAAUACGACGUUUACAUGUUCUUUUUUUGAUGCAGCUGCUGGUGCCACCACAGAUUUGCGUUUUGGUAUUUUUCCCUCCUUCUCCACCACCAUUUCUGGCGCGCCCGCCUCUGGCGGUCCUCUGUCUCCCAAAGAGCCUUCCCCCGGUUCUGCUCCACUCGGUCCUGCUCCACUCGGUCCUUCUUUGUGCUCCCAUGAUUCUUCUGGAGACAGCUCGGUCUCUCCACUUUUUAGAACAGGUCCUGAACCUUCCAUGCUGAGCGCUGACUUUGAACCUGCAUACGACACUGUCUGCUCUUGAGAACGUUCCACAGGUGCCUCGGGGCCAGCAGGGCCUCCUGCUCCGGAGCCGUCUCCCCGGGCGGCGGUGGGGGCGGCGGCUGGGGGCAGCGAUGGCAGCGGCUGCCGAACCGGGCCCCGCAAGGAGGACUGCACGAACCGAAGCGCGGACGGUGAGCUGGCCGCGCAAGGCCGCGCUGAGGUUCUGGGCCUCGGCCGCGGCGGCAGGAGGAGCGCCGAUGGCCCGGGACUUCUGUG
rnacentral:lncRNA from 1 species